rnacentral:rRNA from 1 species
UGUCGUCAGCUCGUGUUGUGAAAUGUUGGGUUAAGUCCCGCAACGAGCGCAACCCUUAUCCUUUGUUGCCAGCGGUUAGGCCGGGAACUCAAAGGAGACUGCCAGUGAUAAACUGGAGGAAGGUGGGGAUGACGUCAAGUCAUCAUGGCCCUUACGACCAGGGCUACACACGUGCUACAAUGGCAUAUACAAAGAGAAGCGACCUCGCGAGAGCAAGCGGACCUCAUAAAGUAUGUCGUAGUCCGGAUUGGAGUCUGCAACUCGACUCCAUGAAGUCGGAAUCGCUAGUAAUCGUGGAUCAGAAUGCCACGGUGAAUACGUUCCCGGGCCUUGUACACACCGCCCGUCACACCAUGGGAGUGGGUUGCAAAAGAAGUAGGUAGCUUAACCUUCGGGAGGGCGCUUACCACUUUGUGAUUCAUGACUGGGGUGAAGUCGUAACAAGGUAACCGUAGGGGAACCUGCGGUUGGAUCACCUCCUUA